GAUCGUAGUAUCCACUCGAGCGAUCACCGGUUCCACCUUUGUAAUGGGUUUGGCUGCCCUAGGCCUAGCCGAUGUCUCUGCAAAUUUGACGCGAACAGCCUCUGCUGGUGAAGAUUUGGUGGAGAUGCGACG
rnacentral:pre_miRNA from 1 species